rnacentral:rRNA from 1 species
ACGCUCGACACCUACGGGAGCAGCAGUGGGGAAUAUUGGGCAAUGGGCGCAAGCCUGACCCAGCAACGCCGCGUGAAGGAAGAAGGCCCUCGGGUUGUAAACUUCUUUUGUCAGGGACGAAGCAAGUGACGGUACCUGACGAAUAAGCCACGGCUAACUACGUGCCAGCAGCCGUGGUAAUCUGAGCGGGCUGGCAAGGC